rnacentral:rRNA from 1 species
UACGUAGGGGGCAAGCGUUAUCCGGAUUUACUGGGUGUAAAGGGAGCGUAGACGGCUGUGCAAGUCUGAAGUGAAAGCCCAGGGCUCAACCCUGGGACUGCUUUGGAAACUGUGGAGCUAGAGUGCUGGAGAGGUAAGUGGAAUUCCUAGUGUAGCGGUGAAAUGCGUAGAUAUUAGGAAGAACACCAGUGGCGAAGGCGGCUUGCUGGACAGUAACUGACGUUGAGGCUCGAAAGCGUGGGGAGCAAACAGG